GGCCUUCCCCAGCUGCCUUUGUUCUUUGAGAUAAUCGCUCCCAAGUCCCUUCGGGCGGGGCCCGGCAGACGCCCCCGCCCCGCCUCACCGCACCCCGCAGGAGCCGCCUCCUCCCGCCGGCGCGGCGCCUGUCCCCGGGUCUCGGCGCCCCCGCUCGGGGCCACCGAAGGGUCUGGGGGCUCAGGGCGGGGGGAGGCGAUCCGAGUCCGUGGGAGCCGCCCCAGCCCCGCAGUCCCAGCAGCAAACCGAGCUUGGUCGGACGGACGCUCGCGCGGAGGGAAACUGAGAGAAAGCUCUUCUUUGGGGACCUCAAACACAGAUCAUUUCAGAGAGAGAAAUCCCAAGGCCCCGCCUGUCUUCCCUGACCCAGCAAGACGACACCUUCAGGAACCUGAGCUGGCACAGCGAAGUCCUUUCAGUUUGCGGAUCCCAGUCGGUGCUCCCCAACCCCAGGAGGAGUCCUGCCGAGCUCCAAAUGAGAAAAUCAAGCCAGUUCGAAGGCGUCAAGAGAAACUAGAUUUGGUUAGCAUGCGCUGAGGGGGCAGGCAGGAGCAGGGCGCCGGGCUCUCGCCACCCCAUCCAGAGGGACUCCGCUACUGGAGGGAGAAAAUCUACCCCGGAUCUGGGACGGUUCAGACUGACUGUCCAACUCGGAGAAACGGUUUAGUUCAGAGCAGAGACGCGACGCUCUGUAGCGCAGGCGACUGGGGGCUUCGCAGGAAACGCUCCGAGAUUAGGCUUCCAAACGCCCCUUCGCCCAACCCAGUGCAGACUUGGCUUUAUUUUUUAUUCUCUGAAGUUGUGGAAAUAAACUCUGGAGUCUGUGAAGAAAGGUGGUUCGUUCACAUGGCUCAAGAGGUGAAAUAAACAAAAUGCACACAAUCUAGCGAGAAGCCACUGAAAUCCUUCAUUAAUGCAGAGCUCUGCCGAGGGCAGCCCCUACGUGCGUGCACCAAUGAGCUGAGGGGACCCACCUCCUGAUGGGAGAGACUCUGAAGCCGGGGCCGGAUGGCAUGUGAUCUGGUGCCCACGGUGGAGACAGCUUCGCUGAGAGCUCUGCCUGAUGAAGAGCGACACCUCCGUUCUUUCAUCCAUUAAAACCCGGAUGGCCAGCGACAGUGUGGUACCCUGGACUGGACCCUGGAACAAGGGACAUCAGUGGAAAAGCUGGCGAGACCCGAACCCUGGUAACUCUGAAGUUCAUUUCAUGGUGCAGCAGUCCCCCCUUCUCCACAGGUUCAGUUACCUGC